CCCGACAGCCGGUCUCGCGAAUGACCAGUGAAGNAGACAGGCUCAACCCAACGCGGUAAGUAGGCCUAACACAUAGCAAGUCGAACGGCAGCACAGGAGAGCUAUGCUCUCUGGGUAGGCGAGUGGCGGACGGGUAGAGGAAUACAUACGGAAUCUACUCUAGUCGGGGGGAUAACGUAGUGGAAACUUACGCUAAUACCGCAUACGACCUACGGGUAGAAAGCAGGGACCUAUCGGGCCGUAGCGCGAUAUGAAUAGAGCCGAUAGUACGGAUAUAGCUAGUAUAGCGGGGUAAAGGCCCACCAGGGGCGACGAUCCGUAGCUGGUACUAGAGAGGAUGAUCAGCCACACUGGAACUAGAGACACGGUCCAGACUACCUACGGGAGUGCAGCAGUGGGGAAUAUUGGACAAUUGGGCGCAAGCCUGAUCCAGCCAUACCGCGUAGGGUAGAAGAAGUGCCUAUCGGGUAUGUAAAGGCCUUUAAGUAGGGAAAGAAAUCCAGCUGGCUAAUACCCCGGGUAUGGGAUGACGGUACCCGAAAGAAANAAGCACCCGGCUAACUAACGUGCCCAGCCAGCCCGCGGUAACAUACGAAGGGGUGCCAAGGCCGUAAACACGGAAUAACCUGGGCGUAAAACGCGNAGCGGUAGNAGUCCGAUAAGGACGGNGUUGACAAAAGGCCCCUGGGCUCAACCCUGGGGAAACUGNCAGGUAGGGANACCUGGGCCGGACUAGNAAGGCGGACAGAAGGGGUAACCGGAANUUCCCUGGGGAAGCAAGUGAAAUGCGUCGAACUCCACGACGGAACACUCCNUGCGAAAGGCACGGCACCGGGGCCACAGAGCACCGAGGGCACCAAAUUGGGGAGACNAACAGGAAAAACACCGANACCACACCCGAAGAAGGUACGCGNUACAGGAGGAAGGCGCCCANAACAACGUACACCCCCUGGGGAGCGACAAA
rnacentral:rRNA from 1 species